rnacentral:SRP_RNA from 1 species
GCUGGUCAUGGUGGCGCGUGCCUGUAGUCCCAGCUACUCAGGAGGCUGAGGCAGGAGAAUCACUUGAACCCAGGAGGCAUUGGCUACAGUGAGCCGAGAUCGUGCCACUGCACUCCAGCCUGGGAAACAGAGUGAGACUCUGUCUCAA